GGUUGAAGCACCAGUUAUCGUAUGAUCACCAAAGUUAAACAAUGUCAAGCCUGGUCAGUAUCUAGGUGGGUGACGACUUUGGAAUACCAGGUGCUGUAAGC